rnacentral:rRNA from 1 species
GAACGCUGGCGGCGUGCUUAACACAUGCAAGUCGAACGGAAAGGCCCUGCUUUUGUGGGGUGCUCGAGUGGCGAACGGGUGAGUAACACGUGAGUAACCUGCCCUUGACUUUGGGAUAACUUCAGGAAACUGGGGCUAAUACCGGAUAGGAGCUCCUGCUGCAUGGUGGGGGUUGGAAAGUUUCGGCGGUUGGGGAUGGACUCGCGGCUUAUCAGCUUGUUGGUGGGGUAGUGGCUUACCAAGGCUUUGACGGGUAGCCGGCCUGAGAGGGUGACCGGCCACAUUGGGACUGAGAUACGGCCCAGACUCCUACGGGAGGCAGCAGUGGGGAAUAUUGCACAAUGGGCGGAAGCCUGAUGCAGCAACGCCGCGUGCGGGAUGACGGCCUUCGGGUUGUAAGCCGCUUUCGCCUGUGACGAAGCGUGAGUGACGGUAAUGGGUAAAGAAGCACCGGCUAACUACGUGCCAGCAGCCGCGGUGAUACGUAGGGUGCGAGCGUUGUCCGGAUUUAUUGGGCGUAAAGGGCUCGUAGGUGGUUGAUCGCGUCGGAAGUGUAAUCUUGGGGCUUAACCCUGAGCGUGCUUUCGAUACGGGUUGACUUGAGGAAGGUAGGGGAGAAUGGAAUUCCUGGUGGAGCGGUGGAAUGCGCAGAUAUCAGGAGGAACACCAGUGGCGAAGGCGGUUCUCUGGGCCUUUCCUGACGCUGAGGAGCGAAAGCGUGGGGAGCGAACAGGCUUAGAUACCCUGGUAGUCCACGCUGUAAACGGUGGGUACUAGGUGUGGGGUCCAUUCCACGGGUUCCGUGCCGUAGCUAACGCUUUAAGUACCCCGCCUGGGGAGUACGGCCGCAAGGCUAAAACUCAAAGGAAUUGACGGGGCCCCGCACAAGCGGCGGAGCAUGCGGAUUAAUUCGAUGCAACGCGUAGAACCUUACCUGGGUUUGACAUGGAUCGGGAGUGCUCAGAGAUGGGUGUGCCUCUUUUGGGGUCGGUUCACAGGUGGUGCAUGGCUGUCGUCAGCUCGUGUCGUGAGAUGUUGGGUUAAGUCCCGCAACGAGCGCAACCCUUGUUCACUGUUGCCAGCACGUUAUGGUGGGGACUCAGUGGAGACCGCCGGGGUCAACUCGGAGGAAGGUGGGGAUGACGUCAAGUCAUCAUGCCCCUUAUGUCCAGGGCUUCACGCAUGCUACAAUGGCUGGUACAGAGAGUGGCGAGCCUGUGAGGGUGAGCGAAUCUCGGAAAGCCGGUCUCAGUUCGGAUUGGGGUCUGCAACUCGACCUCAUGAAGUCGGAGUCGCUAGUAAUCGCAGAUCAGCAACGCUGCGGUGAAUACGUUCCCGGGGCUUGUACACACCGCCCGUCAAGUCAUGAAAGUUGGUAACACCCGAAGCCGGUGGCCUAACCGUUGUGGGGGAGCCGUCGAAGGUGGGACUGGUGAUUAGGACU